ACGAACGCUGGCGGCGUGCCUAAUACAUGCAAGUCGAACGCUUCUUUCCUCCCGAGUGCUUGCACUCAAUUGGAAAGAGGAGUGGCGGACGGGUGAGUAACACGUGGGUAACCUACCCAUCAGAGGGGGAUAACACUUGGAAACAGGUGCUAAUACCGCAUAACAGUUUAUGCCGCAUGGCAUAAGAGUGAAAGGCGCUUUCGGGUGUCGCUGAUGGAUGGACCCGCGGUGCAUUAGCUAGUUGGUGAGGUAACGGCUCACCAAGGCCACGAUGCAUAGCCGACCUGAGAGGGUGAUCGGCCACACUGGGACUGAGACACGGCCCAGACUCCUACGGGAGGCAGCAGUAGGGAAUCUUCGGCAAUGGACGAAAGUCUGACCGAGCAACGCCGCGCGAGUGAAGAAGGUUUUCGGAUCGUAAAACUCUGUUGUUAGAGAAGAACAAGGACGUUAGUAACUGAACGUCCCCUGACGGUAUCUAACCAGAAAGACACGGCUAACUACGUG
rnacentral:rRNA from 1 species